rnacentral:lncRNA from 1 species
AUGUAGGCUAAUAAAUAGACUAGCAUGUCAAAUGGACACCAUGUGGAGGAUAGUCAUACGUGGUGGCAUUGAUGGGUACAGCUGCCUCGUUGUGUUUCUCCGUGCUUCCAGCAACAAUCGCAGCAGUACUGUAAUGGAUUGCUUCAUGAAUGCUGUCUCCAGAUAUGGCGUUCCCUCCAGAGUUAGGACGGACCAUGGAGGAGAAAACAACACUGUCUGCUUGUUGAAUUGCAACUUCCUGUGGCCUUCCCUCCACCUAUACCACUUCCUGCGGCCUUCCCUCCACCAUUCCCUGAGGCUUAUCGUCCACCUUCACCACAAUAUGUGGCCUCCCCUCCAUGGAGUCCACUCUCGUCUGUUGAUGUUGGUAAUGACAAUGAUGUUGACCUCCAAACACUGCUGAAGUUAAUGAGAUGCCAACCAAAUUAACGUGAUGAGGGACAACGUUUAUGAUUGUGCAAUGAGAGGCUUUACGAGAGCCCGCUUUAAUCCGGAGGCAAAAAUAGGCGUGGUUUUUAGGGAUGCUGACGGAAAAGGGGCAGCUGAUGAGGGUGGUCCCUCAAGAGAAUUUCUCCGGCUGUUAAUGAGUGCCAUCCAUUCCUCUGCAAUAUUUGAGGGACCUGAUUGGCAAAAAUGCCUUUCUUGCAUCGCUCAAGCGCUCUAUGGUGGCGUAUACAAGCAGGUGGGACGCAUGAUUGCUGUCUGUCUGGUACAUGGGGGUGUAGAGACACCAUUUUUUCCAGAGAGGCUAUACAGGCAAGUGUGUAGACUACAACCUCCUGUGCCAGAACUGAAAGGAAUAUGACUUCAGAGAGAAGUUGAAGAUCCAGUUAGCACAAACUGUUGACGAGGCACAGGAAGCGGUCAUGGAGGCCUCCGAAACAACUGGUCAUGUUGGGUUCAGUGUGAUACAUUAGUACAUUGGAGGAGAGGGAUGCCCUGGUGGAGUCAGCCACAAAGUUCUACUUAGAAAGCAGGCUACGGGAUGCUCUUGAGCAAUUCAAAAGAGGGUCUGGAGUGUCUACGUCUCCUGCCUUACAUGAAUAGACACUCAAGCCUCUUCAGAGGUUUUCAUCUACGCUGAGAAACCUCUUUUGGCCAAAGACAAAUCUUCUCUCUUCACAGCAAUGCUCUCCCCACCUGAGGGGAAAGCAUACCCUUUAACCCUGGAGAAGAUUCUCAUUUUCACUUCCGGGGCUUCGGCCAUUCCUAGGCUGGGAUUCCCAGUGGAGCCACAGCUACAAUUCUUACACAAACAAGAGAAUGAGGCUGCCAGGAUGUUCCGGAAGCAAAUACAUGCAGCAUUGUUUUAAGGCUGCCAACACAUCCAACCCUACGCAGCCUUCAGGGAGAAAAUGGAGAGUGAAUUUUACAAUCACCAACAUUUAUUUUUUUGUAUGUAUUUUUCUUAAGUGCAUUGUUGGUUAAGGGCUUGGAAGUAAGCAUUUCACCGUAAUGUCUACACCGGUUGUAUUCGGAGCAUAUGACAAAUAAAAUUGUAUUUGAUUUAAAGGGAAUUCAUUUAAGGGAAUUAUCCAAAAUGUUUAUUGCAUGACUACGUAGUAAAGUUCAGAAUACUGCAGCCAAUGUUAAUUGGUGAUGUGUCCCAAAACGGUUGAUAUUAUGAAAGUUUCCAACAGGAUCGGCCAUCAGCAAAAAAAGUUGGACACAGUAAUACAAAAUGCAGCUUUAAUAAAUGUAUGAUUUCUUAGUGGGUAAACUGAGCAUUAUGCAAAGUAGUGUAUUUUUAUUACCUUUAGUUAACUAGGCAAGUCAGUUAAGAACAAAUUCUUAUUUUCAAUGAUGGCCUAGGAACAGUGGGUUAACUGCCUUGUUCAGGGGCAGAACGACAGAUUUUUACCUUGUCAGCUCGGGGAUUCGAUCUUACAACCUUCUGGUCACUAGUCCAAUGCUCUAACCACUAGGCUACCUGUCACCCCUAGUGUAUGUCAAGGGACUAUAAUGUUACAAUAUGUGCAAUGUUACCAUAAAUAAAUCUUACAGUAAAUAUGGACAUUUCAUUUAAAUGUGUUAUGGCCAUAGAAACAGACACUGUAGUUGGUACAUUGGUCGUGGUGCAGCAAGUUGAUGAGGGUAGUGGAGAAGCACUGGUGGGACUUUAUGAGUGAAGUGACUGGGGGCAGAAAAGGAUAUCAGGGUGCCCAGGAACUUAAAGCUGCUGAUCAUCUCCAUGGUAAUGUACAGUAGAUGGGAGAAUGGUCAUUAAGUCUCACCGUUUUGCUUACGCUGAGACUGUUGUCCUAUCACCCUUAUGUCAGGUCCCACAGCUCCUUCAUGUACUCAUGUGUACCAUGGUUGGGUCGGGUACAUUCUGGGGAUACACAUUCUUAUGAUAAUGUAAAAAAUCUCAUUUGUUAUUACUGGGUUUACACCCAGAGGCCUGAGUCUGCUAACCAGUUUGUGGGUCAGGAUGGUGUUGAAAGCAGAGCUAUAAAAGGAAACGCACUCUGACAUAUGUAAAAUGCAUAAUUGACAAAUGG